rnacentral:rRNA from 1 species
UACAGAGACUGCAAGCGUUAUUCGGAUUCACUGGGCGUAAAGAGUGCGUAGGCGGUGAGAUGUGUCAGGCGUGAAAUCUCAAGGCUCAACUUUGAAAUUGCACCUGAAACUAUCUCGCUUGAGAGCUGGAGAGGGUAGCGGAAUUCACGGUGUAGCAGUGAAAUGCGUAGAUAUCGUGAGGAACACCAAUGGCGAAGGCAGCUACCUGGACAGCAACUGACGCUAAAGCACGAAAGCGUGGGGAGCAAAAGGG